UCUUAUGGAUGGGUAAAGAAAGUGGUUUCUUGAGAUGGAAUUGACUGUUGGUGAAGAUGCUGUGAA
rnacentral:pre_miRNA from 1 species